GACGAACGCUGGCGGCGUGCUUAACACAUGCAAGUCGAACGGCAAGGCCCUGCUUUUGUGGGGUGCUCGAGUGGCGAACGGGUGCGUAACACGUGAGUAACCUGCCCUUGACUUUGGUAUAACUUCAGGAAACUGGGGCUACUAUCGGAUAGGAUCUCCUGCUGCGUUGUGGGGGUUGGAACGUUUCGGCGGUUGGGGAUGGACUCGCGGCUUAUCAGCUUGUUGGUGGGGUAGUGGCUGACCAAGGCUUUGACGGGUAGCCGGCCUGAGAGGGUGAACGGCCACAAUGGGACUGAGAGACGGACCAGACUCCUACGGGAGGCAGCAGUGGGGAAUAUUGCACAAUGAGAGGAAGCCUGAUGCAGCAACGCCGCGUGCGGGAUGACGGCCUUCGGGUUGUAAACCGCUGUCGCCUGUGACGAAGCGUGAGUGACGGUAAUGGGUAAAGAAGCACCGGCUAACUACGUG
rnacentral:rRNA from 1 species